GACCUUCAGCAGCACAUAUACUAAAAUUGGAAUGACAGAGAGGAGAUUAAUGUGGCCCCUGCACAAGGAUGACAUGCAAAUUCAUGAAGUGUUUUAUAUUUAA